UAAAUUUUGUUCGCCGCGAUGAAGAGUUUGAUUUUGAUUUUGUCCUCAAUACUUAAUUAUUUAAACAAGAUGAAAGCCAUGCGGUAGUGUUAAUUGUCUGCAAUUGGAUACUGAUUACAAUGUAGUCCAAGAAUAUUUGAAGAAUUCACCCGGCCGGUCUUGUGCUUUCUGGUCCCACGUGUUGCUGGAGCAAUAUGUAAGUGACACCUACUGUACUCUUGCACCAGAAAUAGAAAGACAGCCUGCCGGGAUGUCAAGCCAUGAUCAAAGGUGGCAAAACGUGGAGAAAUUGUAAGAAACGGAAAGGAUUCAAAUGAUUUCUCUUACAUUCACGAAUUGGGGAAAAAGUAGGCCGCAAAUUUAAGUUUUCUUUGAAGCAGUGGUGUUGAGGCAAUAGCCUGAUAAAACUAGAAACCUCGACAAUUACUUGGCUUUUGAUGUUUUUCUCUUGACAUUCAGCAGAGAAUUUACUCUUUGUUGGGCGAUUAGCUGUAGAGCCCACGACGUUUGUAAUUUAAGAUAAGAAAUAUGCCGAGGCUCUAGUUCAUUCGUGGCUAUGUUGAAUGCAAAGUCGUGAAGUCCCAUACUCUGUACACUGAGGAAACCAAUUUAUAAGGCGAAUGCAUUUUGAGUGGACUGAUGGCGGUGUGCCUUUCUUGUAAGCAUGUGGCAGUGAAAUAAUUCUGAAGGAGAUCGAAUGACUUGAAAUUGCCACAAUGUUUUCAUGAAUGUUAUCUCCAAUUGAUAAAUAAAAACAAAACUUGUACUUGUAAUAUAACGUGA